GAUGAACGCUAGCGAUAGGCCUAACACAUGCAAGUCGAGGGGCAGCACAUGAAGUAGCAAUACGGAUGGUGGCGACCGGCGCACGGGUGAGUAACGCGUAUGCAAUCUACCUACAACAAGGGAAUAACUCGUUGAAAGACGGACUAAUACCCUAUAAAACAGGGGUCCCGCAUGGGAAUAUUUGUUAAAGAUUUAUCGGUUGUAGAUGAGCAUGCGUUCCAUUAGCUUGUUGGUGAGGUAACGGCCCACCAAGGCAACGAUGGAUAGGGGAACUGAGAGGUUUAUCCCCACACUGGUACUGAGACACGGACCAGACUCCUACGGGAGGCAGCAGUGAGGAAUAUUGGUCAAUGGAGGCAACUCUGAACCAGCCACGUCGCGUGAAGGAAGAAGGCCUUCGGGUUUAAACUUCUUUGACAGGGGACGAAGGAUGACGGUACCCUAGAAAACAAGCUACGGCUAACUACGUGCCAGCAGCCGCGGUAAGAGUCACGUCG
rnacentral:rRNA from 1 species